rnacentral:rRNA from 1 species
AUUGAACGCUGGCGGCAUGCCUUACACAUGCAAGUCGAACGGCAGCACGGGUGCUUGCACCUGGUGGCGAGUGGCGAACGGGUGAGUAAUACAUCGGAACAUGUCCUGUAGUGGGGGAUAGCCCGGCGAAAGCCGGAUUAAUACCGCAUACGAUCCACGGAUGAAAGCGGGGGACCUGCGGGCCUCGCGCUGUAGGGGUGGCCGAUGGCUGAUUAGCUAGUUGGUGGGGUAAAGGCCUACCAAGGCGACGAUCAGUAGCUGGUGUGAGAGGACGACCAGCCACACUGGGACUGAGCCACGGCCCAGACUCCUACGGGAGGCAGCAGUGGGGAAUUUUGGACAAUGGGCGAAAGCCUGAUCCAGCAAUGCCGCGUGUGUGAAGAAGGCCUUCGGGUUGUAAAGCACUUUUGUCCGGAAAGAAAUCCUUGACUCUAAUACAGUCGGGGGAUGACGGUACCGGAAGAAUAAGCACCGGCUAACUACGUG